UUACUGGUGCCCCAGUCGAAUUAGAACCACACCAAUCCAUCUCGAACUUGGUAGUGAAAUGAAUCGAGGGCAACGAUACUUAUAGGGUGACCUGUUGGGAAAAUAGUUUGGUGCCAGUAA
rnacentral:rRNA from 1 species